AUUGAACGCUGGCGGCAUGCUUUACACAUGCAAGUCGAACGGCAGCGCGGGCUUCGGCCUGGCGGCGAGUGGCGAACGGGUGAGUAAUGCAUCGGAACGUGCCCAGUAGUGGGGGAUAGCCCGGCGAAAGCCGGAUUAAUACCGCAUACGACCUGAGGGUGAAAGCGGGGGACCGAAAGGCCUCGCGCUAUUGGAGCGGCCGUUGUCGGAUUAGCUAGUUGGUGGGGUAAAGGCUUACCAAGGCGACGAUCCGUAGCUGGUCUGAGAGGGCGACCAGCCACACUGGAACUGAUCGACGGUCCAGACUCCGACGGGAGGAAGCAGUAGGGAAUCUUCCGCAAUGGGCGAAAGCCUGACGGAGCAACGCAGCGGGAGUGAUGAAGGUCUUCGGAUCGUAAAACUCUGUUAUUAGGGAAGAACAAAUGUGUAAGUAACUAUGCACGUCUGGACGGUACCUAAUCAGAAAGCCACGGCUAAUUACGUG
rnacentral:rRNA from 1 species